GACGAACGCUGGCGGCGUGCUUUACACAUGCAAGUCGAACGGUAAGGCCCUUCAGGGUACACGAGUGGCGAGCGGGUGAGUAACACGUGGGUGAUCUGCCCUGCACUUCGGGAUAAGCCUGGGAAACUGGGUCUAAUACCGGAUAGGACCACUGCCUGCAUGGGAGGUGGUGGAAAGAACUUCGGUCCAGGAUGAGCUCGCGGCCUAUCAGGUAGUUGGUGAGGUAAUGGCUCACCAAGCCUACGACGGGUAGCCGGCCUGAGAGGGUGACCGUCCACACGGGGACUGGGACACGGCCCAGACUCCUACGGGAGGCAGCAGUGAGGAAUAUUGCACAAUGGGCGCAAGCCUGAUGCAGCAACGCCGCGUGAGGGACGACGGCCUUCGGGUUGUAAACCUCUUUUAGCAGGGAAGAAGCGAAAGUGACGGUACCUGCAGAAAAAGCACCGGCUAACUACGUGCCAGCCGCCGCGGUAA
rnacentral:rRNA from 1 species